GACGAACGCUGGCGGCGUGCUUAACACAUGCAAGUCGAGCGGAGCGGCGAACGGGUGAGUAACGCGUGAGUAACUGACCCCCUCCUUGGGAUAAAAGUUGGAAAAGGCUGCUAAUACCGGAUAGUGGGGGAUGACUCGGGUCCUAUCAGCUGGUUGGUGGGGUAGUGGCCUACCAAGGGGACGGCGGGUAGCCGGCCUGAGAGGGCGACCGGCCACCUUGCGCUAUGAGACGGACCAGACGCCAACGUGAGGCAGCGGUGGGGAAUAUUGCACAUUGGGGGAGACCGUGAUGCAGCAACGCCGGGUGCGUGAUGACGGCCUUCGGGUUGUAAACCGCUUUCAGCCAUGACGCGGUAGUGGCAGAAGAAGCACCGGCUAACUACGUGCCAGCAGCCGCGGUAAUAC
rnacentral:rRNA from 1 species